rnacentral:rRNA from 2 species
UGCAGUCGAGCGGAAGGCCCUUCGGGGUACUCGAGCGGCGAACGGGUGAGUAACACGUGAGCAACCUGCCCUAGGCUUUGGGAUAACCCCGGGAAACCGGGGCUAAUACCGAAUAUGACCUGGCCUCGCAUGAGGUUGGGUGGAAAGUUUUUCGGCCUGGGAUGGGCUCGCGGCCUAUCAGCUUGUUGGUGGGGUGAUGGCCUACCAAGGCGACGACGGGUAGCCGGCCUGAGAGGGCGACCGGCCACACUGGGACUGAGACACGGCCCAGACUCCUACGGGAGGCAGCAGUGGGGAAUAUUGCACAAUGGGCGGAAGCCUGAUGCAGCGACGCCGCGUGAGGGAUGACGGCCUUCGGGUUGUAAACCUCUUUCAGCAGGGACGAAGCGUAAGUGACGGUACCUGCAGAAGAAGCGCCGGCCAACUACGUGCCAGCAGCCGCGGUAAGACGUAGGGCGCGAGCGUUGUCCGGAUUUAUUGGGCGUAAAGAGCUCGUAGGCGGCUUGUCGCGUCGACCGUGAAAACCUGGGGCUCAACCCCAGGCCUGCGGUCGAUACGGGCAGGCUAGAGUUCGGUAGGGGAGACUGGAAUUCCUGGUGUAGCGGUGAAAUGCGCAGAUAUCAGGAGGAACACCGGUGGCGAAGGCGGGUCUCUGGGCCGAUACUGACGCUGAGGAGCGAAAGCGUGGGGAGCGAACAGGAUUAGA